rnacentral:rRNA from 1 species
UACGGGGGGGGCAAGCGUUGUUCGGAAUUACUGGGCGUAAAGGGCUCGUAGGCGGCCAACUAAGUCAGACGUGAAAUCCCUCGGCUUAACCGGGGAACUGCGUCUGAUACUGGAUGGCUAGAGGUUGGGAGAGGGAUGCGGAAUUCCAGGUGUAGCGGUGAAAUGCGUAGAUAUCGAGAGGAACAUCGGUGGCGAAGGCGGCCUUCUGGACAGUGACUGACGCUGAGACGCGAAAGCGUGGGGAGCAAACAGG